CUGGCGGCGUGCUUACACAUGCAAGUCGAGCGAGUAACCCAACGGNAAGUUUUCGGACGGAAGAUGGAAUUACUUAGCGGCGGACGGGUGAGUAACGCGUGGGCAACCUGCCCUGUACAGAGGAAUAACAUUGGGAAACCAGUGCUAAUACCUCAUAUACCCUUCGGGUGGCAUCACUUGAAGGGGAAAGAUUUAUCGGUACAGGAUGGGCCCGCGUCUGAUUAGUUAGUUGGUGAGGUAACGGCUCACCAAGACGAUGAUCAGUAGCCGACCUGAGAGGGUGAUCGGCCACACUGGAACUGAGACACGGUCCAGACUCCUACGGGAGGCAGCAGUGGGGAAUAUUGCACAAUGGGGGAAACCCUGAUGCAGCAACGCCGCGUGAGCGAUGAAGGCCUUCGGGUCGUAAAGCUCUGUCCUAAGGGAAGAUAUAGACGGUACCUUAGGAGGAAGCCCCGGCUAACUACGUGCCAGCAGCCGCGGUAAUACGUAGGGGGCAAGCGUUAUCCGGAAUUACUGGGCGUAAAGGGUGCGUAGGCGGUCUAAUAAGUCAGAGGUGAAAGACUAUUGCUCAACGAUAGCAAGCCUUUGAAACUAUUGGACUUGAGUGCAGGAGAGGAGAGUGGAAUUUCUAGUGUAGCGGUGAAAUGCGUAGAUAUUAGAAGGAACACCCAGUGGCGAAGGCGACUCUCUGGGACUGCAACUGACGCUGAGGCACGAAAGCGUGGGGAGCAAACAGGAUUAGAUAC
rnacentral:rRNA from 1 species